GAGUGUCACAGCUCUUUUAGUAUUUGCCUAGCAGGUUUUCUGGUUGCUACCAGAAAGCACCCAC
ensembl:snRNA U7 U7 small nuclear RNA